UACGUAGGGGGCAAGCGUUGUCCGGAUUUAUUGGGCGUAAAGAGCGUGUAGGCGGCUUUACAGGUCCGCUGUGAAAACUCGAGGCUCAACCUCGAGCUGUCGGUGGAAACCGUAAGGCUGGAGUUCGGGAGAGGAAUGUGGAAUUCCAGGUGUAGCGGUGAAAUGCGUAGAUAUCUGGAGGAACACCGGUGGCGAAGGCGGCAUUCUGGACCAACACUGACGCUGAGGAGCGAAAGCCAGGGGAGCAAACGGG
rnacentral:rRNA from 1 species